rnacentral:rRNA from 1 species
UGGGGAAUAUUGCACAAUGGGGGAAACCCUGAUGCAGCGACGCCGCGUGGAGGAAGAAGGUCUUCGGAUUGUAAACUCCUGUUGUUGAGGAAGAUAAUGACGGUACUCAACAAGGAAGUGACGGCUAACUACGUGCCAGCAGCCGCGGUAAAACGUAGGUCACAAGCGUUGUCCGGAAUUACUGGGUGUAAAGGGAGCGCAGGUGGCAGUGCAAGUUGGAUGUAAAAUCUACGGGCUCAACCCGUAUAAGCAUUCAAAACUGUGCAGCUUGAGUGAAGUAGAGGUAGGUGGAAUUUCCGGUGUAGCGGUGGAAUGCGUAGAUAUCGGAAGGAACACCAGUGGCGAAGGCGACCUACUGGGCUUUAACUGACGCUGAGGCUCGAAAGCAUGGGUAGCAAACAGGAUUAGAUACCCUGGUAGUCCAUGCUGUAAACGAUGAUUACUAGGUGUUGGAGGAUUGACCCCUUCAGUGCCGCAGUUAACACAAUAAGUAAUCCACCUGGGGAGUACGACCGCAAGGUUGAAACUCAAAGGAAUUGACGGGGGCCCGCACAAGCAGUGGAGUAUGUGGUUUAAUUCGACGCAACGCGAAGAACCUUACCAAGUCUUGACAUCCAUCGACGACUAUAGAAAUAUAGUUUUCCUUCGGGACGGUGAGACAGGUGGUGCAUGGUUGUCGUCAGCUCGUGUCGUGAGAUGUUGGGUUAAGUCCCGCAACGAGCGCAACCCCUAUUGUUAGUUGCUACGCAAGAGCACUCUAGAGAGACUGCCAGGGAUAACCUGGAGGAAGGUGGGGACGACGUCAAAUCAUCAUGCCCCUUAUGACCAGGGCUACACACGUGCUACAAUGGCGUAAACAGAGGGAAGCAGCCUCGUGAGAGUGAGCAAAUCCCAAAAAUAACGUCUCAGUUCGGAUUGUAGUCUGCAACUCGACUACAUGAAGCUGGAAUCGCUAGUAAUCGCGAAUCAGAAUGUCGCGGUGAAUACGUUCCC